rnacentral:rRNA from 1 species
ACUCCUACGGGAGGCAGCAGUGAGGGAAUAUUGGUCAAUGGAGGCAACUCUGAACCAGCCAUGCCGCGUGCAGGAAGACUGCCCUAUGGGUUGUAAAACUGCUUUUAUACAGGAAGAAACAGUCGUACGAGUACGACCUUGACGGUACUGUAAGAAUAAGCACCGGCUAACUCCGUGCCAGCAGCCGCGGUAAUACGGAGGGGUGCAAGCGUUAUCCGGAAUCAUUGGGUUUAAAGGGUCCGCAGGCGGUCAAUUAAGUCAGAGGUGAAAUCCCAUAGCUUAACUAUGGAACUGCCUUUUGAUACUGGUUGACUUGAGUUAUACGGAAGUAGAUAGAAUAUGUAGUGUAGCGGUGAAAUGCAUAGAUAUUACAUAGAAUACCGAUUGCGAAGGCAGUCUACUACGUAUAUACUGACGCUCAUGGACGAAAGCGUGGGGAGCGAACAGGAUUAGAUACCCUGGUAGGAUAGCG